rnacentral:rRNA from 1 species
AAUGAACGCUGGCGGCAUGCCUAACACAUGCAAGUCGAACGAGACCUUCGGGUCUAGUGGCGCACGGGUGCGUAACGCGUGGGAAUCUGCCCUUGGGUUCGGAAUAACAGUUAGAAAUGACUGCUAAUACCGGAUGAUGUCGAAAGACCAAAGAUUUAUCGCCCGAGGAUGAGCCCGCGUAGGAUUAGCUAGUUGGUGAGGUAAAGGCUCACCAAGGCGACGAUCCUUAGCUGGUCUGAGAGGAUGAUCAGCCACACUGGGACUGAGACACGGCCCAGACUCCUACGGGAGGCAGCAGUGGGGAAUAUUGGACAAUGGGCGAAAGCCUGAUCCAGCAAUGCCGCGUGAGUGAUGAAGGCCUUAGGGUUGUAAAGCUCUUUUACCCGGGAUGAUAAUGAAAGUACCGGGAGAAUAAGCUCCGGCUAACUUCGUGCCAGCCGCCGCCGUAAUAC